rnacentral:rRNA from 1 species
GACGAACGCUGGCGGCGUGCUUAACACAUGCAAGUCGAACGGAAAGGCCCUGCUUUUGUGGGGUGCUCGAGUGGCGAACGGGUGAGUAACACGUGAGUAACCUGCCCUUGACUUUGGGAUAACUUCAGGAAACUGGGGCUAAUACCGGAUAGGAGCCCCUGCUGCAUGGUGGGGGUUGGAAAGUUUCGGCGGUUGGGGAUGGACUCGCGGCUUACCAGCUUGCUGGUGGGGUAGUGGCUGACCAAGGCAUUGGCGGGUAGCCGGCCUGAGAGGGUGACCGGCCACAUUGGGACUGAGAUACGGCCCAGACUCCUACGGGAGGCAGCAGUGGGGAGUAUUGCCCAAUGGGCGGGAGCCUGAUGCAGCAGCGCCGCGUGCGGGAUGACGGCCUUCGGGUUGUAAACCGCUUUCGCCUGUGACGAAGCGUGAGUGACGGUAAUGGGUAAAGAAGCACCGGCUAACUACGUG